GGAUGUGAAGGAGAUGUGACCUGACAUCUGUACCCCAUUGAUCAGGUUGAUUUGUCUGAUCUGGCUGGCUAGGCAGAUGUCCCCUUUCUUUUUCAGUGCUCCAAGUGUGGCCCUUCCAAAGUGUGCCCUGGUGGGAGAGGACAACCUUCCCUAAAGAGGAGGACCACUCCUCAGUCAAGGGUAUACCAGCAGCUAAGCUCCUCAGCUAUACUCUCCAAAUGAGCUCUCAAGAGAGAAUAAAAGCAAAGGGAGCCUGGACAGUCCGUAGCUAUAUCCAAUAGUCUCC
rnacentral:snRNA from 1 species